UACAGAGGUCCCAAGCGUUGUUCGGAAUUAUUGGGCGUAAAGGGUGCGUAGGCGGUAGGGUAAGUUAGAUGUGGAAUGUCGACGCUUAACGUCGAACCUGCAUUUAAGACUGCCCUGCUUGAGCACUAGAGAGGAGUCUGGAAUUUACGGUGUAGCAGUGAAAUGCGUAGAUAUCGUAAGGAAGACCAGUGGCGAAGGCGGGUCUCUGGACAGUUCCUGACGCUGAGGCACGAAGGCCAGGGGAGCAAACGGG
rnacentral:rRNA from 1 species